AGUGCACUAUUUUCAUGUGCACCACAUGCUUGAUACAAAUUUUCCCUAUCACAUUAUUAACAUUGAUUAAUGUUAUCACGUCUAAUAAAUGUUGCAACAGAGACAUAAUAAUAAGUGAAAAAGUUUUCUAUACCAACCAGGAAAUUCUAUUAGCAAAGGAAUGGAAAAUCAGUAACCAUCAUUGAGUUGAAAACUAUUGUAGUUAUGAAGAAGGAAAUAAGCAACAUCAUAGUCUAAUCAGCAAGAAAAUUCUAUAAAGAGGAAAUGGAAAUAGCAUAAUCAACUGACUAGAAUUUUUAACUCUCCUUGUGAUUCAAGUCAUAUUCUCUUAAA
rnacentral:misc_RNA from 1 species